rnacentral:misc_RNA from 1 species
GAUGAAGAACGCAGCGAAAUGCGAUAAGUAAUGUGAAUUGCAGAAUUCAGUGAAUCAUCGAAUCUUUGAACGCACAUUGCGCCCCGUGGUAUUCCGAGGGGCAUGCCUGUUCGAGCGUCAUUAUAACCCCUCAAGCUCAGCUUGGUGUUGGGGCCUGCUGCACUGGCAGCCCUUAAAAUCAGUGGCGGCGCCAUCUGGCUCUAAGCGUAGUAAUUCUUCUCGCUAUGGAGUCCUGGUGGAUGCUUGCCAUCAACCCCCAAUUUUUCUAUGGUUGACCUCGGAUCAGGUAGGGAUACCCGCUGAACUUAAGCAUAUCAAUAAGCGGAGGA